AAUGGCUCUGCGCCCCCCCCAGGGGGCGGGCCCCACACUUUGGGAAGGUCUGCAUUAGGCAUAGAAUUAUGACACGUAAGAUAGGGUGAACAAAUCUUUAACUUAGUGUGGCAGGAUGAAUGGUAUCCCUCGGUCCAACCCACUUUCAGCCUGGCGCAUUAGGGGGCGCUAGUAUAAAUAGUGGCCAUUUGAGUGUCCCUGGAUCGCUUACCUGUGAUCUCCUUUUUGGUCACCUGACUUCCCUUUGGUGUUGCAGAGAUUAUUUGCGGGUUACUCUUCUGAAGCCUCCAUCGCGGCUGGUCGUAGCUGUAGAAGCCUCCUCUGAGCCAUUCUGCUCACGUUCUAUGACGCGGCUUACUCGGAAGUGUGGGCCUUAGUUUUGCGCCAAGCUACGCGAACUGAAGUGCUGCUGCUUUGCUUUGCUGUGCUUUUACCGUCUGUUCCCGUUGCGAGAUUUCUUUUCCUGCUGCUGCCAGCUUUUACAGUGGACGUCGGCGUGGACAGCGGCCAUAUGCAUGCCGGUUAUGGGAGUCAGCUGGCGUGCAUAUUGAUUGACAGUUAACUUGUAGUCGUGUAGACGGCAAGUUGGAGCAAUACGGCGAUUCCGUUUGCUCCAGAUUUUAGAGUUUUAUCCAGAUUGUAUGUUGUUUUCCUGUUGUUUGAUUUGUAGUUUGGAUUUUUGUUACGCCACUGGUGGGAGGCCCUUUUUCUAGCUGUAGAUCACCAGUGUGGUCCUGCAGUUGGGUUAUCCCCCAGCGCUA